UACGUAGGGGCAAGCGUUGUCCGGAUUUAUUGGGCGUAAAGAGCGUGUAGGCGGCCUUACAGGUCAGCUGUGAAAACUCGAGGCUCAACCUCGAGACGUCGGUUGAAACCGUAUGGCUAGAGUCCGGAAGAGGAGAGUGGAAUUCCCGGUGUAGCGGUGAAAUGCGCAGAUAUCGGGAAGAACACCCGUGGCGGAAGGCGGCUCUCUGGGACGGUACUGACGCUGAGACGCGAAAGCGUGGGGAGCGAACGAGGA
rnacentral:rRNA from 1 species